UUGUCCACAAACUGACCCUUGGAGAUGCCUUUUUAUUAAUCUUCUGCGAUUUUUUAUUGGUUUCCGAAGAAGCAGUAACAGUGACCGGUGACUUUGCGACGAUCGGUUUUGUAUUGUUCACGAAUGGCGGUGAUGUGCGAGUUGACGGUUUACUAUCUGUAGCAGCUGAAAUAACCGACCGCGAUGAAAUGUUAUUAGCAAAACUCAUGGAAGGAACAGCAGUAUCAGAAACGGUGGAAAUCUUAGGCUGGGGCUGUUGAUUGUCAACAACGACUUUGGUACUCUCAUUUGCUACAGCAUCAUCAUUUUCUUGGUUACCCGAUUCAUUAUCGGAAGAGUCAUUGAUUAAAGGAAGCUUCGAGAUAUGCUUAACAUUAGGAUAACUUUCCUCAGAUGCAUUCACAUUUUCAGGUAUCUGUUCUGGAGAAUCUUCUUUCGGGACUGCAGGAGUAAAAAUAGCAACUUGGUCAGUUAACCCAACAUCAGAAAAACAAUUGGGUAUGUCGAGAGAAUUGAUUUUAAGUAGUACCUCUGGCCAGUGAAUAAUCAGUCCCUCUACAAUCUUGGCUUCAACUCUAGCCUUUUCGGUUUCAAAUCUCAUAAGGUCAUUCACAUUUCCAGAAGGACAAGAUUUCGAAAGAUCAGUAGAAGAGUUACCCAACAAUAAAGGACCAAAAAUAAUACCAAGG